rnacentral:lncRNA from 1 species
AUGCGCUGGUGCACGCGCAGGUCGGACAGCUGCAUGAAGCCCUUGUCACACUCGUCGCAGCGGAAGGGCCGCUCGCCCGUGUGCGACCUCGAGUGGAUGACGAGCUGCGACGGGUACUGGAAGGUCUUGCUGCACACGCCGCACCUGUGCGGGGCCGAGGGGGUGGCCUGGCCAGGACCAGGGAGAGCGGGCGUGGGGCUGCCCGGCGUCGCCUCUGUGUGCAAUCCGCCUCGCUCCUCGGGACACCCCGGGCCUCCCUGGGGGCCUCCCGGGGACAGCGCCCGGCCCGCGCUCCUCCUCGGGGGGCUUCUCGUGCCUGGGGGGUCUCCUUCGGGCGCACGCUCAGCGCAGCCUCCUGUCUCCGGAGCGCAGGUGGCCGCGGGGCCGGCAGCCCCGUUCGCAGUGGCGGUGUCUCCAUCCUGGGGCUCCUGGUCGUCCUGUGUCCAUGCAGGACCUGCUGGGAAGAGACAGAUCCCACAGGCAGCGUUUAACAGGGGCGUCUGCAGGGUGCUGCCAGGCCGCGGGACCUCCGGACGCUGUGCAACCCUGCAGGGACUGCAGGGGACGCUCUGGAGGGCAGCGGUGCGGGCAGGUGACUGGCGGGGGGCUGGCCGAGGGGCGCUGCGCCCGCGGUCUCUCACUUACCUGGGGCCGGUGGGAGCACAGGCUCCGGGGACUGCUGCGCGGACAUCUCCUGGGGCGGCCCCUGCUCCCCUUCCUCAGGCGUGGUCUCCGGCGGGACGGCCUCGCACUGCGGGAGAGACGAGCAGAAUCACACCAGGCCCCAGUCGGGGGCACGGAUCGCCCUGGCUGGAGCUGCUCACCACCCUCAGCUUCCUGGGGAUGCCCAGAAGUUCACCAGCUGAGAAGCUCCCGGCCUGGCGCCAGGUCCGGCGGCUGCGGGCUGACCAGGCUCCCGUGGGGCAGGGCCGAGCCCUCCACGCUCCGGCACCUGGGGGACAAGUCGACCACGGUGCCCGGCUCGCUGGCCUCUGCGUCCGCCAUCUCGACGUCCGCGUCCCGCAUGAGGAAUUUCUGUCCUUCAUAGACGACGAUGGACUGGGGAAGCAGACAGGAGCCACGGUCAGAACCCGCGGCCCGGGCCCAGCGCUGGGGAAGGGGCCUGCUGCUCCCACCCUCCUCCCGGGGCCCUGGAACUGGGGGGGCACAGCUCAGCCCAGCCCAGAAGGGGGAAAAGCAGACAUUUCUGCUGAAUACAACCCGUGUGCCCGGGGCCCCUCCCCGGCCCGGGCCUUGGGGGCUCACGUGGGCACAUGGGGAUCCCCACUCCGUCCUCCUGGCUGGCCCUCUGCCCACCAGCCAUCGCUCGCCCCAGUCCCUGAUGCUGGCCCCCCACCUCACGUGAGUCAGUCUCAGCCCCAGCGUUUCAGACCUGAUGCCCUCUUUGGUGGGGUCCUGGGCCCUAAGGAUGCUGGACAGCUGUCCCUGGUCCUGCCCGUUAGCAUCCUGCCCCGCAGUGUAAGGUGUCCCCAGGCUGGCACGGACCAACUCCGGGCGAGCCUGCCCUGCCAGCACUGCUUUAGAUCAAGGUCAGGCCCUCACUCCUCUAUUUCUCUUUACGGAUUAAAAAUAAAAGGCCAGGCGAGGUGGCGCACGCCUGUAAUCCCAGCACUUGGGAGGCUGAGGCAGAAGGAUUGACCUGAGCUCAAGAGCACCCUGGGCUACACAGUUUAAGACCCUGUCUCAAGAAAUGAAAACAAAAAUGAAUACAUAGAAUACAUAAAUUAGGGGUUGGAGGACUUGGCUCUGUGGUACAGCUCUCCCCUCGCAUGCACAAGGCCCUGGGUUCGAUCCCCAGGACCACUAAAUAAAUAAAUGAAAGUUGGU